GGCUCAGAACGAACGUUGGCGGCGUGGAUUAGGCAUGCAAGUCGAGGGAAUCCCAGCAAUGGGGGAACCGGCGUAAGGGGCAGUAAGGCAUGGAUCACCUACCCCGCGGUUCGGGAUAGCCCAUCGAGAGAUGGGGUAAUACCGGAUGAUGUCGAGAGACCAAAGCUCCGGCGCCGUGGGAGGGGUCCAUGUGGUAUUAGCUAGUUGGUGGGGUAACGGCCCACCAAGGCGUAGAUGCCUAGCGGGUGUGAGAGCACGACCCGCGCCACUGGCACUGAGACACUGGCCAGACACCUACGGGUGGCUGCAGUCGAGGAUCUUCGGCAAUGAGCGCAAGCUUGACCGAGCGACGCCGCGUGUGCGAUUGAAGGCCUUCGGGUUGUAAAGCACUGUCGAGGGGGAGAAAAGCCCGUAAGGGUGUGAUCUAUCCCUGGAGGAAGCACGGGCUAAGUUCGUGCCAGCAGCCGCGGUAAGACGAACCGUGCGAACGUUGUUCGGAAUCACUGGGCUUAAAGGGCGCGUAGGCGGGCUGCCGCGUCCGGGGUGAAAUCCCACGGCUCAACCGUGGAACUGCCUCGGAUACGGGCGGUCUCGAGGGGGGUAGGGGCACGCGGAACUGUGGGUGGAGCGGUGAAAUGCGUUGAUAUCCACAGGAACUCCGGUGGCGAAGGCGGCGUGCUGGACCCCAUCUGACGCUGAGGCGCGAAAGCCAGGGGAGCAAACGGGAUUAGAUACCCCGGUAGUCCUGGCCCUAAACGUUGGGUACUAGGUAGUAGACCAGACAUGGGUUUACUGCCGGAGCAAAAGUGCUAAGUACCCCGCCUGGGGGAGUAUGGUCGC
rnacentral:rRNA from 1 species